UUACAGCCAUAUCAUGUUGAAACACCAGCUCCCAUACCAUCACUGAAAUUAAGCAAUAUAAAGCCUGAUCAAUACCGAGAUGGGUGACCACUUGGGAAUACCAGGUGCUGUAA